rnacentral:ncRNA from 1 species
CAUCCGAAAAGGCACACUUGUCGUAAGGCGGGGUCGCAAAGCUACGGGUCCAGAUGAAAGAGGCUGGAUUGCCAAG